rnacentral:rRNA from 1 species
GAUGAACGCUGGCGGCGUGCCUAAUACAUGCAAGUCGAGCGAACAGACGAGGAGCUUGCUCCUCUGACGUUAGCGGCGGACGGGUGAGUAACACGUGGAUAACCUACCUAUAAGACUGGGAUAACUUCGGGAAACCGGAGCUAAUACCGGAUAAUAUAUUGCACCGCAUGGUUCAAUAGUGAAAGACGGUUUUGCUGUCACUUAUAGAUGGAUCCGCGCCGCAUUAGAUAGUUGGUAAGGUAACGGGUUUGCAAGGCAACGAUGCGUAGCCGACCUGAGAGAGGGAUCGGCCACACGAGAGCUGGAACAGGGACCAGGCGACUACGAGAGGGAGCAGUAGGGAAUCGUCCGCAAUGGUCGAGAGCCUUACGGAGCAACGCCGCGUGAGUGAUGGAGGUGUUGGGAGCGUAAUGCUCUGUUAUGGGGUAAGAACAAAUGUGUAAGUAACUAUGCAGGUCGUGACGGUACCUGGUCAGAAAGCCACGGCUAACUACGUG